UACGUAGGGGGCGAGCGUUAUCCGGAAUUAUUGGGCGUAAAGCGCGCGCAGGCGGUCGAUUAAGUCAGGUGUGAAAGGCUGCGGCUCAACCGCAGAGCGGCACCUGAAACUGGUCGACUUGAGUGCAGGAGAGGGGAGUGGAAUUCCCGGUGUAGCGGUGGAAUGCGUAGAGAUCGGGAGGAACACCAGUGGCGAAGGCGGCUCUCUGGCCUGUAACUGACGCUGAGGCGCGAAAGCGUGGGGAGCAAACAG
rnacentral:rRNA from 1 species